GAGUAACUGAUCAAGGAGAAAACAAAGAAAAUAACAGUCUAGGCAGACUAUUAAAGUUUCAUUGUUUUGCUUUGCAAUUUUGUGCAAAAAUGGGAUAAGAUUUCACUUAUUUAUUUAGGAAAUAGUUACCAACAUUAUUUAGUAGUAGAAAUAAUUAGAGAACUGAAUAAAAUGUAGAAAUCUAAUUAACAGUCAAUGUAGAUGAAGCAAGAUGUUUUAGCAGCUAUAACCAAAGAUUUGAAAGUUGGGAGUCAUUUGUUGCUUUCCCUUUUUGUUGUUUUUGUUUAAGCAGUAUAUUUCUUAGUUCAGUUUACUAUUUCAGUUUAUUAAAUUUGAUAGACAGCUAUUAUGAAAUCCAUAGCAAUUUACCAAUAGAUAGCAGGGCUCACUGGUACAUGAAGUGAAACCCUGUACAUAUCUGCUUUGUAAGCUUCAGUGAGGUCAAUGGGAUUUACUCCCAGGUAACCGUGUAUAGAAUUGCAGGCGCUUUCACUUGCUUCUUGGAAAUAUCAGUGCUACUACAUAUUUAGAAAUCGUGCAUUACUAAAAAAAAAAAAAAACAUUGCUGAAUUAUAUUUGUCUAAAUUAUAUUUACUAUAAAUGUUUUAGGAAAUGAGCAACUUGGAUCAAUUUUCACAUUACAUUAAGAAGGGCAAAGCUGCAGCACAAUUAACGUGGAAAAGAUGUUGUCCUAUUCAUUUAAAUUUGGCUGAAAUGUAGCAACAGCACCUUCUUAGAUAUUAACGUUUCUGUAGUGCUAAUGUUCUCUAAAUGUUACUUAAAAUCCUCUACAAUUAGAUUUCAAUUAACAUUAAGUGUAAUCACUAGAAAGUAAGCACACUGAUUAAACAGGAGUUAAUACUAGUUGUAAUGAUCUUAUAAAUGAUCAAUUCAAUGAACCAAAAGCCUUUCUAAGCUGAAUACAAUGAACAUAGAAUUAGCUAUUAGAAAUAUUCUGUUUGAGAUUUUUUUCCCUCUCACCAUAAGAUUUUCCUAUUGCAUAUGUGUAUUGCUUGCUUAGCUCAACAAAUACUAAAAAAGAGAAGAGAAAUGAGUAUUGAAAUAUAAUCAAGGGUGACAAAUUAUGAGAAUUAUAGUCCAAAAUAUCUGGAGGGCAUGCAUUUGUCUAACCCUGAUUUUUGUAAGUGUUUUCUUUUUGAUGUGCUGAUUUAUUACAUGCAGACAUGUUUUUAAAAAAUCAGACAUAUGAAGUUAGGAGAGAUUUUCAGAUUGGACAACUGUUUGAAGGUUGCAUGUCUAAAAGUGUUGCCUAAAGGGAAAGGAGAGAGCAAAAGGAACUUUUCUAUUUUAAAAUUGGUGUGUUCUAAACAAUCAAAAAUGUAAAUCUCCUGCCUGCAAUCUGGAAUGGUAGAUUCCAGGUAUCUCUCACUCAUUCAACAACCCCAUUCUUUUAAAUCUGUAAACGGAUGAGAAUCCGUCUGGACUAUAACAUCAAAAGUCCCUUUUACUCAUUCAUUUCGGCACAAAUUAAUGCAUAGAGGAAUUGACAAUAGUUGCACCUGCUGGUGCUUCCCAUAACUAUUAACAGGGUACGAUUAUACCAAUUUUCCCCAUACUAUGUGUAUUCACCUGCAUGUAUGCAAGCUUAUUUACAUGCAAUCUGUGGCCCUGGAAAGUAGAAGGCUCUUUAUGGAAAUCAAUGGACAUUCUGUUUUUGUGCAUAUGUAGAAAAGGCCAGAGUUGGGAAAGGGUUGACAAAAAGUAUAUUUUCCCACUCAAUGUACAGCAUAUUUUGGGAAAUUCCGGUGUUUGUGUUAAUGCAUGUCUAGUACACAGUUCGCUUCAGUAGUAAUGGAGUGCAUUUUUUUGCUUGUGUUCAGUAUUAAAACUCUCAGCCCAUUUUAGCCUCUAGAUGUGUUUUCCCACUUGAGCACCAAGGAAAUGUGUUGUUCAACAGUAGAUUCCGAAUGAAGUCCCUGGAUAGACAGGAUUGGGUACUUGGAUUUAAUAUAUAGUAGCUAUUCAUAUACAAAAAAAUUGUUUAAUGGUGUACUGGGAAUUAUGCCAAUAGAGGACAAAUGAGAAUGUUCUAAGAUAUUAUUUCCUAUUUUCUAUUAAAGCAACUAUCAGGAAGGGACUGCUAUAGGAUUCCCUCACCCCUGCCAAUCAAUAGCAGAAAACAGGAAGGAAAAGGCUUUUCUGGGUCUUUUGUCAAUCAAUUCCUGUGUACACAUCUAAGCUGGGCAUUCCCUGGGUUGGAUUCGAACCGGCAACCUUCAGGUCAGCAACCCAACCUUCAGGUCAGCAGUCCUGACGGCACAAGGGUUUAACCCACUACACUACAUGUAGGAUGGGAAAGGACUGCAUUUUUUCUCAGAUAAAGCCAGAAACAACGAAGCUCUUAUUCUAUGGUAAAUUUCAGGAAGGAUAUUAUUCAGGUGGGGGCAUGUGGAAUUUACCCUAGAUUUGUGUGGAUGAUCUCGAGGAUGGACGUGACCUGAGGAAAUAAAUUGAUGAAUGGCACCACUGUAAAGCUGAAACAGUUAAUCAUAUUUUUCAAAGGCUACAUGGAUUUCUUUUAAAAGUUGCACUGAUGUAGAGGUAAACCUGCCAAAAAUUAAUGAUGUGAGCUGCAAGCAAACUCACGUUCAUUACUAUGGGAACUAUAUCACAUUUAAAAUCCAUUUAAAUGGUUAUAGGUCAGGAAUCUGUUGAAUAAUGCAUCUGUAAAAUAAAAUAUCAUGCUGCUUGAUACCCAAAGGAAUUACUCCAAAGUAAAAACAUGAAAUAGCAUUUCUUUUUACUGUGCAAAAGCACUUAGAAAGAGCAACUAGUCUUAAGGCAAUUUCCCUUUAUUUAUAUGUUAAAUAUUCCCAAUAAAAAUAAAAAUCAAUAAUUAGAAAAACUUCAGUGCAACCUCCUUAUAUAUUCUACAUGGCACAAGCCAAUAAUGAUAGUCUAUAAAGCCAGGACAACUUUUCACGGAGAUAGAUUAAGAAAAACCUUGGACAGCAUUAGGAUGUCUACAAUUUCUAGUGUCACCUAUAUUAUUUGUACUUUUUAAAGUUCUAUGUUCACAAACAACUUCAAAAUAAAGUGAGAUAUCUAGUUGUUGAUAUAACUAGAUAUAACUAACAUUAUACCAGGUUUUGAUUUUAAAAAUGAGGAAUGGAAAUUAAAGAAAAUGAUAAGCAAUUAAUCUUACAUAUUAUCUGCUGGAAGAAUUCAGUCUUUUAUAUAUGUGACCAAGAAUGAUGAGAUUACGAGCCAAUGUGAUAUCCUACAGUAAAUGAAAACAUAUGCCAUUUUUAUUUGCUUGUUUGUUUUUGUGAAUUGUGAGCUAAGGCAUGACUGAAUUGUUAACUUGGGUUAAGAAUCGAUUGACUAAAUUUGGAGAAAAUAAAAAUUGCAUAAAAAUCUAUGUUCAAGGCAUUCCUGUUUAGAUCAAUACCAUUGGCAUAAAAGAUCCACUGGGGUUUGGUUCCAGGACUUCCCGUGGAUAUCAAAACCCGUGGAUACUGAAGCCCCAUUAUUUAAAGUGGUCUAGUAAAAUAGUAAGGAACCCCGGUGGUGAAGUUAAAGCACUGAGCUGCUGAACUUGCAGACCGGAAGGUCCCAGGUUCAAACCCCGGGAGCGGCGUGAGCUGCCGCUGUUAGCUCCAGCUUCUGCCAACCUAGCAGUUUGAAAACAUGCCAAUGUGAGUAGAUCAAUAGGUACCGCUCUGGCAGGAAGGUAACGGCGCUCCAUGCAGUCAUGCCGGCCACAUGACCUUGGAGGUGUAUACGGACAACGCCGGCUCUUCGGCUUAGAAAUGGAGAUGAGCACCAACCCCCAUAGUUGGUCACAACUGGACUUAAUGUCAGGGGGAAACCUUUACCUUUAUCUUUAGUAAAAUAGCACCCUUUAUACAAAAUGGCAAAAUCAAAGUUUGCUUAUUGUAUUUUUUAAAGAAAGGUUUUUUUCAAAUUGUGGAUAAUGAAAUCCAUGGAUAUGGAUGCUGUGAAAAUGUAUCAGAUAUUGAGAAUAAUUGUGAAAGAGCUGAAUGUAUCAGAUGUUGAGAAUAAUUAUAAAAGGAUGGCGACCACCAACAUCUCCCACAUGUAGGCUUCUAGAGACAUCUGGAUGGCCACUAUUGGAAACUGAAAGCUAGGCCAGAUAGACUAAAAAUUAAUAAGAUAUAUCCCCAAAAGGAGGACACAUUAACCUAACAUUUGCAUAUAGAAUCACGAUUGGAAAGUUGGGAAAGGUAACAUAAUUGAGUCAUUUAAUCUCACCCUUUACUUUUGUCAUAGCAUGUCUGAAUUACAUGUGUAAAUGCAUUUAGCAAUUCAGAAAUAACUGUUAUUGAAACAUAAAUACAGUAUAUCUAGCUGCAGUGGGAAAAACUAGAGGUGAUAGCAGCUAACUAUUGGUGAGGAAUGACAAAUGCCUUGAUUCUCCCUUCUUAUAUACAACAGUGUCUCCCUUAUCCAACAUAAACAGGCCAGCAGAACGUUGAAUAAGCAAAAUGUUGGAUAACAAGGAGAGAUUAUGGGAAAGCCUAUUAAACAUAAAAUUACAUUAUAAUUUUACAAAUUAAGCACCAAAACAUCAUGUUUUAUAACAAAUCAACAGAAAAAGCAGUUCAAUACGUGGUAACGUUAUGUAGUAAUUACACUGUAUUUACAAAUUUAGCACCAAAACAUCACAGUGUAUUGAAAACAUUGACUACAAAACAUUGACUACUAAAAGGCAGAGUGCGUUGGAUAAUACAGAACUUUGGAUGAGCAAAGGUUGGAUAAGCAAGACUCUACUGUAUGUUUAAAUAGAAUCUGGACUGAAAAUCGAAUCAAAUAAGAGAACAGUUGCCGGAAAACACAUCAAACCAAGGGCUGCACUUUGUAAUGUAGGACACAAGGCCAUCCUAGCACCCUAUAUUGAGCUUGCAAUAUAUGUUUUAUUAUCUGAAUUGUGAGGUUUUAAUAUAUAUCUCACAACCUCUAAGGAUGCCUGCCAUAGAUGUGGGCAAAACGUCAGGAGAGAAUGCUUCUGGAACAUGGCCAUACAGCCCGGAAAACUCACAGCAACCCAAGGUUUUAAUUAUUAGACUAUGAGAAUCUGGGCUGUUUCAUUCAUGGGGAUUUUUUCAUGACCUUAAACAAUGGAAAAUAAUGCAUCUAGAAACACCAAAUGGCUCUGUGUUCUGCCUAUUUCAUACACAAAUUCUUUCUUGGUUUCCUUGUCUUCAAGCAUAAUCAUAAAGAGAAAAUUAGCAAUAUUUCUGUGAGGAAAAUAGCCUUGUGAAAGAGACCUACAUUAAAAGUAGCUUUCCACCGAAUAAAGAAUGUGCAGUAUAGAAAGAUGUUCUUUUGUUUGCUUUUUUGGCUCCUGACGUUAUUUUUCAUGCCAGCAAGUCACUCCAAUUAUUAUUCUAACAUGAGUGUAAGACUUUAAUAGUGAAGCAAAGGAAGUUGUAUAUUAACCCCUCAACCCCUCUCUAGUACAUAUGCUCUGUUGAAUAUGUUUUGUUUGAAGUGCAAUUGAAUUGCCCUGAAUUCCAUCUGCAAUUAUUCCUCGACAGACAUUCAUUUUCAGUUUGCUGUACACGACAAGAAAUGACUGGAUUUUUUCCUUAAUUGAUGUAUCUAGCUGGUUACUAAACAGAGAGA